CUGGGCUUGACAUCCGCUGACAGUCCUGGAAACAGGAUCUUCCCCGCAAGGGGACAGCGAGACAGGUGCUGCAUGGCUGUCGUCAGCUCGUGUCGUGAGAUGUUGGGUUAAGUCCCGCAACGAGCGCAACCCUCAUCCUUAGUUGCCAUCAUUGAGUUGGGCACUCUAAGGAAACUGCCCCGGUUAACGGGGAGGAAGGUGGGGAUGACGUCAAGUCCUCAUGGCCUUUAUGUCCAGGGCUACACACGUGCUACAAUGGGCGGUACAAAGGGUUGCAAUACCGCGAGGUGGAGCUAAUCCCAAAAAACCGCUCUCAGUUCAGAUUGGAGUCUGCAACUCGACUCCAUGAAGGCGGAAUCGCUAGUAAUCGCGGAUCAGCAUGCCGCGGUGAAUACGUUCC
rnacentral:rRNA from 1 species